UUUAGAACUCGGCAUUCAUGUUGUUGUUUUUCUUUGUGCACGAAUUAUUUUAUGGGGUGUUGUCCAACUUGACUCUUUUUCACUCAAUUUUUUUUUCUUUUGAGCAUCACAUUAAAGCACGAGUCUAUGGCCUAGGCAAGUGCUUAUACUUCAUCUCUUUCCAUUUCUUUUCUCUUUUUUUUUUCUUCGGUAGAAGCAGA
rnacentral:lncRNA from 1 species